rnacentral:rRNA from 1 species
UACGUAGGUGGCAAGCGUUGUCCGGAAUUAUUGGGCGUAAAGCGCGCGCAGGCGGCCUUUUAAGUCUGAUGUGAAAGCCCCCGGCUCAACCGGGGAGGGUCGUCGGGGACGGGCGAGCUUGAGGCCGGCAGGGGCAGGUGGAAUUCCCGGUGUAGUGGUGAAAUGCGUAGAGAUCGGGAGGAACACCCGUGGCGAAGGCGGCUUUUUGGUCUGUAACUGACGCUGAGGCACGAAAGCGUGGGGAGCAAACAGG